rnacentral:tRNA from 1 species
AAAAAGGUAGGUUAUUAAAACCGCUGAAUUGUGGUUUCAGAAAAGUCGUAUGACCCUCUUUC